CCCUUAGAUGUCCUGGGCUGCACGCGCGCUGCACUGACGAACUCAACGAGCUUAUCACCUUGGCAGAGAUGUCUGGGUAAUCUUUUGAAAGUUCGUCGUGCUGGGGAUAGAUGAUUGUAAUUAUUCGUCUUGAACGAGGAAUUCCUAGUAAGUGUGAGUCAUCAGCUCGCGCUGAUUACGUCCCUGCCCUUUGUACACACCGCCCGUCGCUCCUACCGAUUGAAUGGUCCGGUGAGGUUCUCGGAUUUUUUCUGUUGUUUGGUUCGCUAAACGAUUGAAGAGAGAAGUUACCCAAACCUUACCAUUUAGAGGAAGGAGAAGUCGUAACA
rnacentral:rRNA from 1 species